UACGUAGGGUGCAAGCGUUACUCGGAAUUACUGGGCGUAAAGCGUGCGCAGGCGGUUAUGUAAGACAGAUGUGAAAUGCCCGGGCUUAACCUGGGAACUGCAUUUGUGACUGCAUGGCUAGAGUUUGGCAGAGGGGGGUAGAAUUCCACGUGUAGCAGUGAAAUGCGUAGAUAUGUGGAGGAACACCGAUGGCGAAGGCAGCCCCCUGGGUCAAGACUGACGCUCAUGCACGAAAGCGUGGGGAGCAAACAGG
rnacentral:rRNA from 1 species